rnacentral:rRNA from 1 species
UGCCAGCAGCCGCGGUAAUACGGAGGGUCCAAGCGUUGUCCGGAAUCACUGGGUGUAAAGGGUGCGCAGGCGGGCGUGUAAGUCAGAGGUGAAAUCCAUCGGCCUAACCGAUGAACUGCCUUUGAUACUGCACGUCUUGAGUCCUGGAGAGGCUAUCGGAAUUCGUGGUGUAGCGGUGAAAUGCGUAGAUAUCACGAGGAACGCCGGAUGCGUAGGCGGAUAGCUGGACGGGUACUGACGCUCAGGCACGAAAGCGUGGGGAGCAAACAGGAUUAGAUA